rnacentral:rRNA from 1 species
AGAAUCAACGCUGGCGGCGUGCCUAACACAUGCAAGUCGAGCGCGAAAGGGGAGCAAUCCCCAAGUAGAGCGGCGAACGGGUGAGUAACGCGUGGGUAAUCUACCUCCGAGUGGGGAAUAACAGCGGGAAACUGCUGCUAAUACCGCAUGACAUCGUCGAGCCUUCGGGCCUGACGAUCAAAGCCGGGGACCGCAAGGCCUGGCGCUUGGAGAGGAGCCCGCGUCCGAUUAGCUAGUUGGCGGGGUAAUGGCCCACCAAGGCUCCGAUCGGUA